UGAGCUCCCUUCCCUCCUUGUCCACCUGCAGGACAGCCGUGUGCCGCUCUGCCUGCCACGUCUUUCUCUCCUGCCGCCGCCGAGGACGCGUCGAACAGAGAACAAGCGUCGCACAUCCAAGCGCGCAGGCUGCAUCGCUUCCCUCCUCACGCGGGCUGCAUCUGGACUAAAGUUGCCCCCACCCUCUCCCCUCCCGUUUUGGGUCCUACAAUACACACUCCUUCCUUUCCUCCCCCCCAAGGGGGAGAGGCACAUUGCGGCGCAGUGUCCGGUUUCAAGCCACGCCGCGCGGCGCGCUCUCCUGCGUGGGUCAGAAAUAGAAGCAAGAGUUCCGGGAGGAGGUUCUGCUGCGAGCCACUUUGGCUGAGGCUGAGCUCCCGUCCCGAGCGCAGACGCGGCGGAACCCGAGGAUAUAAUAUUCGUCUUUGCUCUUCUGCGCGGACAAGAUACGCAGCGUGGACCUCAACUCAAUGACUGCGAGUUGACCACCCCACCAGGUGUGUCUCGCCGAUGCUCUCGGCCCCCCGAGGCCUGAGAAGUGAGCCGAGCCCAGGCCCCCAUGGGACGCCCUGUUAGCCAGCAUGCACUGUUGUGCAUGCUGCUGCUGCUGCGGUUCGGUGGCGUGGUGGGAAGGAGAGGCCCCGUGCUGCUGCCCGAGUCGCCGUGUCACAAAACGGAGCAUCCGAUCAUCCCCCACUCGGGGAUGGAGCCGUGGAUUUUCCGGUUCAAAGCAGAGGGCACAGUGGAUUAUUCCCAGUUGACCUUUGAUCCCAGCCAGAAUGAACUGAUUGUGGGUGCUAGAAAUCACCUCUUCAGGCUCAAUCUUGAGGACCUAACACUGAUCCAGGAGGCUGAGUGGCACUGUGACGAGUUUACCAAGGGAGCCUGCUUCAGUCGAGGAAAAUCUGAGGAGGAGUGCCAGAACUACAUCAGAGUGCUGCUGGUCAAUGGAAACCGGCUUUUUACCUGCGGGACCAACGCCUUCACUCCCAUCUGUACCAACCGAACGCUCACCAAUCUGACCGAGAUCCAUGACCAAAUAAGCGGAAUGGCCCGAUGUCCCUACAAUCCCCUCCACAACUCCACCGCACUCAUCACAUCCAGCGGCGAGCUUUACGCGGCCACGGCGAUGGACUUUUCCGGGCGAGACCCCGCCAUCUACCGAAGCCUGGGCGGCCUGCCACCACUACGGACUGCCCAGUACAACUCCAAGUGGCUUAACGAGCCAAACUUUGUGUCAUCCUACGAUAUCGGCAACUUCACCUACUUCUUCUUUCGGGAGUACGCGGUGGAGCACGACUGUGGUCGCACCGUCUUCUCCCGCGCCGGCCGCGUCUGUAAGAACGACAUCGGCGGGCGCUUCCUCCUGGAGGACACGUGGACGACCUUCAUGAAGGCUCGACUCAACUGUUCCCGGCCGGGAGAAAUCCCCUUCAACUACAACGAGCUGCAGGGCACCUUCUACCUGCCGGAGCUGGAGCUGCUCUACGGCAUCUUUACGACCAACGUAAACAGCAUCGCCGCAUCCGCCGUGUGUGCCUUUAAUCUGAGUGCCAUAUCGCAGGUCUUCAACGGACCCUUCAAGUACCAGGAAAACUCCCGCUCGGCCUGGUUGCCCUACCCCAACCCCAACCCCGACUUCCAGUGCGGCACCAUCCACUCGGGUUCGUACGUGAACCUGACGGAGAGGAACCUGCAGGACGCCCAGAAGUUCUUGUUGAUGCACGAGGUGGUCCAACCCGUGGUCGCCGUGCCCUACUUCAUGGAGGAUAACGUCCGCUUCAGCCACGUGGCCGUGGAUGUGGUGCAGGGCAAAGACACGCUCUUUCACAUCAUCUAUUUAGCCACAGAUUACGGCACCAUCAGAAAAGUGCUCUCGCCUCUGAAUCAGUCCACGGGAAGCUGCCUCUUGGAGGAGAUCGAGCUGUUCCCCGCCAGGAAGAGGCAGCCCAUUCGGAGCCUGCUGAUCCUGCACAGCCGAAGCGAGCUGUACGUGGGCGUACGAGACCAGGUCGUCAAGAUCCCCCUGAAGCGCUGCAGCUACCACAAGGGCAGAGAUGCGUGCGUGGGGGCCAGAGACCCUUACUGUGGUUGGGAUCUCCUGCUGAAGAAAUGCACCACGCUCGAAGAAAGCGCCAGAAUGAGCCAAUGGGAGCAGAGCAUUACAAAGUGCCCGGUCCGUAAUGUGACGGUCGAUGGCGGCUUUGGCGCCUGGUCGGGAUGGUCGGCUUGUAGCCACAAUGACGGCGGCGGCGCGGGGUCCUGCCUAUGUCGGACGCGCGCAUGCGAUAGCCCCAUUCCUCAGUGUGGCGGUCAGAGGUGUCACGGCAUCAGCGUCGAGGUCGCCAACUGCUCCAGAAACGGAGCCUGGACUCCGUGGACAUCUUGGGCUCCCUGCAGCACCAGCUGCGGUAUUGGCUUUCAAGUUCGUCAGCGCUCCUGCAGCAACCCGACCCCUCGUCACGGCGGCCGAGUGUGCGUGGGGCAGAAUCGCGAGGAGAGGUACUGUAACGAACACCUGCCCUGCCCGCCGCACGUCUACUGGUCGGCCUGGUCGGCAUGGGAACGCUGCAAUGUGCCUUGCGGCGGCGGCAUCCAGUCGCGCCGGCGAACCUGCGAGAAUGGCAACGACUGUCCCGGCUGUGGCCAGGAGUACCAGUCGUGCAACUCCCAGCCUUGUCCUGACCUGAAGAAAACCACUCCGUGGACCCCGUGGACACCGGUGAACAUUUCCGACAAUGGCGGGCACUAUGAGCAGCGUUUCCGUUACACGUGCAAAGCUCGUAUACCGGAUGCCAGCCUGCUGGAGGUGGGCAGGCAGAGGAUCGAAAUGCGCUACUGUUCCAGCGACGGCUCGACGGGCUGCUCCACUGAUGGUGAGGUUCUUCACCUGGGCAAGACCUCCGCACGCACCGUCAACGGUGGCUGGUCUUCGUGGUCUUCUUGGACCCAGUGCAGCAGAGACUGCAGUCGUGGCAUCCGCAGCAGGAAACGGGCUUGCAGCAACCCGGAGCCAAAGUACGGGGGUCAGACCUGCCUGGGGGCUGCCCAGGAGUACCAGGAGUGCAACACCACUCCUUGUCCCGUGGAUGGGAGCUGGUCCUGCUGGUCUCCGUGGUCCAAGUGCUCCGUGACGUGCGGAGGCGGACAUUACAUGAGGACUCGGACUUGCAGUAACCCCCCGCCUGCUUACGGAGGGGACAUCUGCCUUGGCCUGCACACUGAGGAGGCGCUGUGCAACACUCAAACCUGUCCAGAGAGCUGGUCCACCUGGUCACAGUGGUCCCAGUGCGACUCCAGAGGGGCCCAGUUACGUGUCCGUCAUUGUGAUGUCCUGUUUCCUACUGGAAAUCAGUGCUCAGGAAACAGCAGCGAGAGCAGGCCGUGCUCUCCCGAGUCCAACUUUAUACCAGAAAUCUCCAUUGCACGCUCCAGUCAGGAGGAGAGACGCUGUGGAGAUUUCAACCUCUUCCACAUGAUCGCCGUGGGGCUCAGCAGCUCCAUUCUGGGAUGUCUGGUCACCCUGCUGGUGUAUUCGUACUGCCAGCACUACCAGCAGCAGUCGCACGACGCCACCGUCAUCCACCCCAUCUCCGCCGCGCCGCUCAACACCAGCAUCACCAACCACAUCAACAAACUGGACAAAUACGACACGGUGGAGGCCAUUAAGCCAGACGUUUCGGUUCUCUUGCCCUUGGACGAGCCCGCCAUGCACCACCAGCCUGUCUCUGCUAACAUGGGGGUGUCUAUGCGGGGCCUGGAGAUAUUCUACUAACCGCUGACCUCACUACAACAUCCCACCUCUCGACCCCCCCCCCCCUUCCCCACCCGCCGCCCUUUCCCAACCAAAACCGAAACUCUCUCUGACCCGCUGUGCUCCUUCCACUUGCUGCGGCACUUCCUGUGCGUGACAGGUUGGACUACAGCCUGUAGUUCAUCUUCCCCAUGCUCAGACCCCUCCCCAUCAUGAAGGACUCGCACUCCCUUCCUCUCCCCUGCACAACUCGCAUUCAACAAAAACAAUUUGAUUCUGGAGGAACGGCAAAAGUACUUCAACCCACAGCUCACUGGGAAGACCUACACCAACCAAUACUUCACCGACCUCAACACCUACGAUGACUAUUAAUUACGAAGACGCCAAACUCCGUCCUGCCGUGACGACGGAAUUAUUUUGCGUUUGGUAUAUCUUGAGAUUCGUGAAGCCACGCGUCGGGCAGCUCCGUUGGCUCUGAGACUUCUGGAGGCAAAAACAUGAACACGUCGCCAUGCCAACAGAGGGAGCGGCCCACUCUCAGGUGCCUUGCGGUACGCUCGGAAAGCUCAGUUCACUUUCUGGGAAAAGGACGACUGGCUCUCCCACUGACCCAACAACUCGACAAAGACAAAAGGGAAAGAAUCCACAUGAACUUUUUCUGUGAACCUUGGUGAAAAGUGCCGCAUUUAUAAUGAGGCACAAAAACAUCUGCUUUGCAUGACACAUCUGACGUCUCAGUUUGCAUGGUAGCAUUCCAUUUUAUUUUUUUGUUCACGUUUCUUUUUUAAGAUGAAUAGCAAGAAUCAGAAUGUAGAUAUUUGAAGUCACUUUGGUUUUUUUCCUCUUAAAGAGUUGUGCAACAAGUGAUUGAAUCAGAAUCGUACAACUUUGUAAUUUUUCUUUUUUUUUUUUUAUUUGUCUCAAGUGUUAAAAGUAAUUUCUUGGUGUAUUCUGAAAAAGUAACUAGGCAGUAGUCAAAGCCUGCUACCGAUUCAGUCACAGUACUUUUUGUAUUUUUUGUAAAAAAAAAAAAUGUUCAGGAUAACACAGUGUUUGCUUCUCUUUUUUUGUCUUUGUAUUUGUGGGACCAGGAUGUUAACGGCAUUUACUGUACAGACGCAGUGUAGUAAACACUAUCCUUGACAGCUUCUACCCGUGUAUACUGCAAGCAAAGGUUAUCAUCAAGAAAAAAGACCUUUUUGUUCAGAACCAAAUAUUAGGUUAUUCAGUGGUUUGGUUGCGACUAACUUUUUUUUUUUUUUUUUUUACAUGUCUGCUUGUGUUGCUGUGCUUAAAUUAAAAGCUGCUUCAGACACUA